UACGUAGGGGGCAAGCGUUGUCCGGAUUUAUUGGGCGUAAAGAGCGUGUAGGCGGCUUGGUAGGUCUCGCGUCAAAACCUGAGGCUCAACCUCAGUUCGCGUGGGAAACCACCUAGCUAGAGUCCGGAAGAGGAGAACGGAAUUCCCAGUGUAGCGGUGAAAUGCGCAGAUAUUGGGAAGAACACCAGUGGCGAAGGCGGUUCUCUGGGACGGUACUGACGCUGAGACGCGAAAGCGUGGGGAGCGAACAGGA
rnacentral:rRNA from 1 species